rnacentral:tRNA from 1 species
ACAACCGUGGCUCAAUGGUUAGAGCGUUGGAUUUCUAAUCAACAGGUCGCGGGUUUGAGCCUCUGGUCGUG